rnacentral:rRNA from 1 species
GAUGAACGCUGGCGGCGUGCCUAAUACAUGCAAGUCGAGCGAAGCGGGGAGGGGUGUGUAACACGUGGAUAACCUCCUAUAAGACUGGGAUAACUUCGGGAAACCGGAGCUAAACCGGAUAAUUUUAGCUGGUUCCGCGCUGCAUUAGCUAGUUGGUCAGCUAACGGCUUACCAAGGCAACGAUGCAUAGACGACCUGAGAGGUGGAUCGGCCACACUGGAACUGAGACACGGUCCAGACUCCUACGUGAGGCAGCAGUAGGGAAUCUUCCGCAAUGGGCGAAAGCCUGACAGAGCAACGCCGCGUGAGUGAUGAAGGUCUUCGGAUCGUAAAACUCUGUUAUUAGGGAAGCGGUACCUAAUCAGGAAGCCACGGCUAACUACGUGCCAGCAGCCGCGGUAAUUC